rnacentral:rRNA from 1 species
CCUACGGGUGGCAGCAGUGGGGAAUAUUGCACAAUGGGGGAAACCCUGAUGCAGCAACGCCGCGUGAGUGAAGAAGUAUUUCGGUAUGUAAAGCUCUAUCAGCAGGGAAGAAGAUGACGGUACCUGAGUAAGAAGCCCCGGCUAACUACGUGCCAGCAGCCGCGGUAAUACGUAGGGGGCAAGCGUUAUCCGGAUUUACUGGGUGUAAAGGGAGCGCAGACGGUGAGACAAGUCUGAAGUGAAAGCCCGGGGCUCAACCCCGGGACUGCCUUGGAAACUGCCUGACUGGAGUGCUGGAGAGGCAAGCGGAAUUCCUGGUGUAGCGGUGAAAUGCGUAGAUAUUAGGAAGAACACCAGUGGCGAAGGCAGCUUGCUGCAGCGGAACUGACGCUGAUGCUCGAAAGCGCGGGUAUCGAACAGGAUUAGAUACCCUUGUAGUC